UUUUCCUUUUUUUUUAAUUUUUUUUUAUUUUGAGACCAAGUCUUGCUCUGUCACCCAGGCUGGAGUGCAGUGGUGUGAUCUCAGCUUACUGCAACCUCCACCUCCCGGUUCAAGCGAUUCUCCUGCCUCAGCCUCCUGAGUAGCUGGGACUACGGGCGUGUGCCACCACAUCCGGCUAAUUUUUGUAUUUUUAGUAGAGACGGGGUUUCACCGUGUUGUCCAGGAUGGUCUCGAUCUCCUGACUUCGUGAUCCACCCACCUCGGCCUCCCCUGCCUCAGCCUCCUGAGUAGCUGGGACUACAGGCAUGCACCACUACGCCUGGCUAAUUUUGUAUUUUUAGUAGAGAUGGGGUUUCACCAUGUUGGCCAGGCUGGUCUCGAACUCUUGACCUCAGGUGAUCCUCCUCCUUGGCCUCUCAAAGUGCUAGGAUUAUAGGCGUGGGUCACCAUGCCCAUCCUCAAUCACACAAAACUAUUAAAGAACCAUGAGUAAUACCCAACUUUCUUAAUUUUUCCUUUUAAACUUUUUUCACAAAUCAAUAAUUAUUGCUAUCACAUGAUUAUUACUAUACAUUGAAAAUAUGAAAACUUUGCUUUAUUGUUAACUUUUAAGCAAGUGGCAUCUCAUAAGAUAAAGCCCUAAUUUCUAACCUUGCCACAUGGAAUCCCACUCUAAACAGGCAACUAUUAAUAUUGAUACUGCUAUUGUUCCACAAAACUUUGAUCACAAACAAAUGUCAUACACACAUGAAUAUAUAUUUAGUUUUACCUAAGUUGAAUCAUACUAUUUGUUCUGAUGUACAUUAUGUAUUUAAUAAUAUAUCUUCAAAAUUUUUUCUGUAUUAUCAAAUACAAAUCUAUAUUAUUAUUUUUAAUAGUGUUAGAGUUUUAUCAUCCUUCUUUUUUCUUUUUCUUUUGAGACAGAGUCUCUGUCACCCAGGCUGGAGUGCAGUGGCGUGAUCUAGGCUCACUGCAACCUCCACCUCCUGGGCUCAAGUGAUUCUCCUGCCUAAGCCUCCCGAGUAGCUGAGAUUACAGGUGCCCGGCACCGCACCCAGCUAAUUUUUGUAUUUUUAGUAGAGACGAUAAAUAAUGUUUUGGUGCCUUAAUUUUAAAACAAUCAAAAUUAGGCUGGGCUUGGUGGCUCAUACCUGUAAUCCAGGCACUUUGGGAAGCUGAGGCAGGAGGAUGACUUGAGGUCAGGAAUUUGAGAGCAGCCUGGGCAACACAGUGAGACUCCCAUCUCUACAAAAAAAAGAACAAAAUAAAAUUAGCCAGGCAUGGUGGCCCAUGCCUGAGGUCCCAUCUACUUGGGAGGCUGAGGUAGGAGGAUCUCCUGAGCCCAGGAAUUUGAGGCUGCAGUGAACUAUGAUCUUGCCAUUGCACUCCAGCCUGGGCAACAGAGUGAGACCCUGUCUCAAAACAAAAAACAAAAACAAGCAAACAAACAAAAUAUCAAAAUUAGUGAAAAAAUCCAUGAUGAACAAAAUAUCAACAUUUUAAAUAAAGACAGAAUUCUAUCCUGCACUUGUAAGAGCCUCUCUCCAGUUGCCUCUCCUUAACCCUGAUCCUGGUUCCAAUAAAACUUUAUUGGUAAAGCAGGUAUCUAGCUGUAGUUUGCCUAUCUGAUUUUAUAAGCUGUUGCAUUAAAAUAUUAUUUAUCUUGAUUACUGAGUAUUUUGGAGCCCUCUUCAAUUUAAUGCCCCAAGUGAGUGCUCACUUGCCUCCCUCUAGUCCUGGCCUUGUUUCGACCCCUCCUUUUUUUCUUUUUUAACCUUAUGAUGAUUCUGUUUAUGAACAAGCACUUGAACUUGGCUUAAUAUAACGAGGGAAUAUGUAGGACAUACGGUUUUUGCAGAGAGGUUUUUCUCAUUUUCCACCUUUCUUUGCCUUCUUCCUCUGAAACCAGUUCCCUGGCAGAUCCUCCUUAAUUGUCUUUUUCUGCCCUCUUGUUGCCUCACUUCUCUUUUUCCAAGCAGUGUCUUCUAAACUUCUUGGUCCCAGCUAUUUGAGUUCAGAACCCGACAGCUUUAUCUGUCAUUUCAAAAAGCCCUAUCAACUGCUGUACCAAUUGUAGACAAUGAGGAGGAAAGAGAACUUUGCUCUGCUUGUGACACAGGUUCUGUUGCCUGGAUAAGGUUCAUGCACAGGGUAGGCUAAGAUGGCCUGCUUAAAAGAAUGGACUUUGUGGAUAUGCCAUGACAAAGAUGUGUCAAAAUACCCCUGAAGUACUUAUUCCUGUGCUGCAUUUGAUAAUAGAGGAUUUAUUAAUAUUCUUUACUUUGGGGUACCUUAGCAUGUAUGAUGAUUUAUUAAUAUUCUUUACUUCGGGGUACCUUAGCAUUUAUGAGGAUUUAUUAAUAUUCUUUACUUUGGGGCACCUUAGCAUUUAUGUUCUGUUCUAGAUUUGUAUUACAGCAGAGUAACGUCAUAAGUACUAUUUUAAAAUUAUUUACAUUCAACUAUAUAUACUCAGUGAGAAAGAGGGAGGAAAGGAGAGGAGGGAGAAUUUAAAUUUUGAAGAUAAAUCUUCAUCCAUCCCCCUAAAUGAGGAUAUAUCCUAGAGUGAGCAUAAGAAGGGAGAUGUGAAUCUGUUGUUUCCUUACAAAUCUGAGUCUACAGAACUGCACUUUAUGAGCAAUUUAAGGAAUUUUGGGGAUAAUUAGCCUAUAUUUAGUUUUUUUCCUUUCAUGUUGAUUUAGGAAACAACCCUCUGUUAGAUACUACUCCACUGUAUAGUAAUGUAUGAUUGUUGCUAUUGUGUUUUAAGAGUGUUUUUCAAUUGUUUAGUGGAUUUGAAUUAUCUUCACCCAACUAAAUUGAUCUUGUGUGAAGGAAAAUGUGAGGUCAUAGCGAUCGUACAAUGUUAUACUUAACCUUGUCUUCUCAGGGCUUGCAGAGGGCACCAGUUAAGACCAUGGGCUUCAGGAGUAGACCGCCUGGGUUCAAAUUCUAACUCGGCCACUUAUUAGUUGAGUGACCCUGGACAAAUUACUUACUGAGCCCCAGUUUUUCUCAUCUGUAAAAUGGGGAUAAUAAUAACACCGACCUUAUAGGAUUAUUGGGAAGAUUAAGUGAAAUAAUACAUGUGAUGUACUUAGCC
rnacentral:lncRNA from 1 species